GAGCGUGGCCAAGUUUACACGUGAAAACACAGUCACCGGCUCCUUCUAGUCCCCUGCUACUGCACUGCUGCUGCUGAUGGAGCGGGCUGACUCUGGAGUUAGGCUGCUUGCAGCUGAUGAGAGUCCGCCAUCCCUGCGACUGCAGACAAGCUGCCGAGAUCUCGCAACUUUGUGUGCUUCUGAGUGGGAAGGAGUAAGAGUGCCCCUAACCUCUGCCUCCGGGAACUGCUGGAGGACGAAUGGAGCAGUUAGCACCAGAGGCAUCUAAGAGACGCCAGUGCCUGUUCCACCUACUACCCGACCACCAACUACUAUCACCUAUAAUUACUAUACAAUAGAGUUGAUCUGGCUACUUAGGGCCUGUGACUAUGCUGAUUCCUGCCAAGUAAUAAGACCAAAUAGUGUGUGUGACCUUUAUAAUGCCAUUCCUUCUUAACUGGACGACUUUCUAUCACCCUUGCACUACCUGAAGGACAAAAUAGGACACUUCUUGUGACCCGCUAGUGUCCACCAGUGAGGCCAUGUCACCCUGCUCCGUGUUACCCACAGCGGAGCGUGACACACACCAAAUAUUGGAUCGCCUGGAUGGAAAAGUUAACUUUACUUUGAGUCAACACGAUGCAGUAUCUACUGACAACUGACAGUGAAAUAAAAAUCAAGUGGAUUGAGGAGGUAUACAGUAGACUGGGAAGAAGAAUUUGGAAAAUCACUGGGAAAGCAUUAUUCUAAGAACAAUCUUAACAUGACCUGCAAUGGUACUUCCGGGCACAUGGUUAGUCAACUGCUAGACGGUUCACACCCAUUAGCUUUGCAAAUGUAACUACUUAAAUCUC